rnacentral:rRNA from 1 species
GGGGGACAACAGUUGGAAACGACUGCUAAUACCGCAUAAUGUCUACGGACCAAAGGGGGCUUCGGCUCUCGCCUUUAGAUUGGCCCAAGUGGGAUUAGCUAGUUGGUGAGGUAAUGGCUCACCAAGGCGACGAUCCCUAGCUGGUUUGAGAGGAUGAUCAGCCACACUGGGACUGAGACACGGCCCAGACUCCUACGGGAGGCAGCAGUGGGGAAUAUUGCACAAUGGGCGCAAGCCUGAUGCAGCCAUGCCGCGUGUGUGAAGAAGGCCUUCGGGUUGUAAAGCACUUUCAGUCAGGAGGAAAGCGUGGUGGUUAAUACCCAUCAUGUGUGACGUUACUGACAGAAGAAGCACCGGCUAACUCCGUGCCAGCAGCCGCGGUAAUACGGAGGGUGCGAGCGUUAAUCGGAAUUACUGGGCGUAAAGCGUACGCAGGCGGUUUGUUAAGCGAGAUGUGAAAGCCCCGGGGCUCAACCUGGGAACUGCAUUUCGAACUGG